GAUCAUGGCUCAGAACGAACGCUGGCGGCGCGUUUAAGCAUGCAAGUCGAGCGGCAAGGGCCUUCGGGCCCCUAGAGCGGCGGACGGGUGAGUAACACGUGGACAAUCUGCCCCCCGGCCCGGGAUAGCCCCAGGGAAACCUGGAUUAAUACCGGAUGAGACGGGACCCGCGAUGGCGGGACCCGGGAAAGGCGCUGCGGCGCCGCCGGGGGAUGAGUCUGCGUCCCAUUAGCUAGACGGCGGGGUAACGGCCCACCGUGGCGACGAUGGGUAGCCGGCCUGAGAGGGUGGACGGCCACAUUGGAACUGAGACACGGUCCAGACUCCUACGGGAGGCAGCAGCUAAGAAUCUUCCGCAAUGGGCGAAAGCCUGACGGAGCGACGCCCGCGUGAACGAAGAAGGCCGUGAGGUUGUAAAGUUCUUUUCGGGAGGGGGAACAACCGUGGCAGGGAAUGGCCGCGGGAUGACGUGAAUCCCGGAAUAAGCCCCGGCUAACUACGUGCCAGCCGCAGC
rnacentral:rRNA from 1 species